rnacentral:rRNA from 1 species
CAGUAGCCGCGGUAAUACGUAGGUGGCAAGCGUUGUCCGGAAUUAUUGGGCGUAAAGCGCGCGCAGGUGGUUUAAUAAGUCUGAUGUGAAAGCCCACGGCUCAACCGUGGAGGGUCAUUGGAAACUGUUAAACUUGAGUGCAGGAGAGGAGAGUGGAAUUCCACGUGUAGCGGUGAAAUGCGUAGGGAUGUGGAGGAACACCAGUGGCGAAGGCGGCUCUCUGGUCUGUAACUGACGCUGAGGAGCGAAGGCGUGGGGAGCGAACAGGAUUAGAUACCCCCGAAGUCCCUGUCUCUUAUAC